GAGCGAGCGAGGCGGGGAGCGCGCGGUGGGGUCGGGCCGCGCACGGAGCGUCUCGGCCGGAGCGGCGCAGCGCAGUCGGCCCGCACGGAGCCGCCAUCGGGGGAGCCAAGGCCGCCUCAGCGGGUCCCGCCCUGCCCGGCGCCCACAGAGAUGAAAAGGCUGGGGACCUUCGUGCCUUCCCCUUCUCCAAGAUUUUAAAAGGACGGGAGACAACAGCGUUUGUAGUGAAAGGCAAAGCAUCUCAAGUAUUUCUUCAGGAGAAGAACCGAGUUUCUUUCCCGGUGGUGAGCUGGUGGCACUUUUAUUUUAUGCUUACAUUAAUACAGUAUUUCUCCAGUAUUCUCCUUGCGCCCUCCUUUUCAACCACUUUGGGUGAAUAUUGCCUUGUUUCUGUAAUGAACAGUCUACUCAUGGUCUAAAUAAAUAGAUAAAGCGAUUUAAUUUGUUUAACGUGGCACAUGGGUGUCUGUUAGGAAGCUCAUAGCUAAUUGGACUAGGUCAUGAAGGACAUGGGAUAUUCCACGCUCGGGACAUAGUUUCAGUUGUCUGUUUAUCUCCUUUCUAAACUGAGGCUAGCGUGGUGCAUUCCAGAGGGGGAGGGAAAAUGGAAGGGACACUUCUCAGCCCUGAUUUAAUCAAGCUGGUCUGCAAGAAGAUUUGAGUUACUGGAAUACAGGUACAGUAAUACAGAGGUUUUUAGGAUAAAGCUUGGAACUCUGGACUAUUAAUUCGUUGCAGAAAAUUCCUUUGAUGAGUAUACCUGAAGUAAAAAUCGACUGCUAGAAAUGAAGUUCAUUUGAAUGGAAACUAAUGUUCUUAAAUAGCCUUUGCCCUUUUCAGUGAAAAAUCAUAGAGGAAAGCACAAGAAUAAGACCUAUCCUUCUGUGAUACAAUUUUAGAAAUCUGUUGUGACCCAAGAAUUCAGAACCUGGUGAAAUUAUGGGCAUUUUUGACCUGAAAGUGGGUGUCUAGAUGAAGUAGCUUAACUGUUACUAUGCCAUAUGUGUUGAUAAGGUUUUAAUGCCAUAGACCAAUCAGACUGUAGUAGAGGAGUUAGCUCAGAAAUUCAGUGGCUCCAGCUAAGUAGGUGUGAACUAAAGAAAGUGAAUACUUUAAAUAACAAGAGUACUUUUCAUAGUUAGGUUUGAGUAGAGUUGCUGUGCUUUCCUUAGUGUGAAUUGAGAAAGAAAUCUUGCUCAAAUGUCAGACACCUGUCUCUAAGGUGGAAAAGGGGAGUAUGAGCAUGUUCAUGUGAGAAGUAAUCCUUUGGUCUGAAAAUUCAAAGAAAUGAAGUAGCACAGUUUUAUGAACUAUGGUCUUCAGAUGAAAUAUUCUGGAAGACUGUGCAUGCAACUGUUAUUAGAAAUACGAUGUUCUUAAUUUAGAAUCACUGAUUUAUUUUCUUCUGUAGUAGUGCUU
rnacentral:lncRNA from 1 species